CCCCCUUCUCUUCCCUACCUUUCUCUCCUUCUCCAUCAAAAUAGAGUGCAUCGGUGAUUAGAACUGAAUUCAUCCUCUUGUUUUCCUUCCCAAGAACACAGCAAGGAUUUGGGAGAGAUCAUUGCUGUUGUUCCUUUCCUGUAACAGGAGUGAUGAUCAUCCUGCUGCGAUAGAAGCCACUCCGAUCAGCAGCAAUGCGAGUCGAUUGUCCUGCCAUAUCAUGUCGUCAUCGCCACCGUUCUUGUACAGCAUGUGAUCAUCUCGAAGGUCGAAUUAUCUAUGUCGUCUCUAUGAACGUGCUGCUAGCAUCGAUCCCAGUGGCCACGUUGACGCUGCCGCUGGCUCUCAACAAACAGCAAGGACUUUGAGGAUGCACUCAUGAUCAUCUCCGGCGCCAAGAUGUAGCUGUAGUACCCCUGCUGUUACACAUAAGCAGCAGCCCUGCAUCUACCUUUCAUUGUCACUGCCACUGAUAGUUUCCUCCUUGCCACCACGAAAGUCCAAUGUGAGCAAUCAACAUCAUUUGUAUCUUUUAUGUUGAUCCCAAUUGCAAUACACGCACCCUAGUUCAUAUUUGAUAGAAUUCCGGCAAAGUAUCACUGCAAUUGUGUUGCUGUCCAUUUUGGACAGCAGUGCUGCUGCCGGUUACCGUUCACAUUCCCAGUGAUCCAUGCCUCUAGUCAUCAAACCUUUUGAUCAUGAUAUAGAUCUUGAUGUUUUACACACCUCUACAAAUCAGUUUGGUCAUAGGAGCCAUGGUGCCGGAGUUAUUGAUAUCGUUGUGCUUGCUGCUCCUGCAUCUAUGCAGCAGCACCCUUGCCGAUUGGCAUACAUAUUCUGGGCAAUCCACAACUCCAUUUGACAAUCCCUUGGAUCCACAAAUGUAUCAUAUAUUUGCCCACGUCUCUGUAAAUUUUUAUGGCCAUAGAAUCUAAGAUGAAAGGGAUAUUCACUUCUUCUUAUGCUCACUGUCCCUGCUGCCCUGCAGCAGCAUUCCUGCCGGUUGGCAUGCAUGUUCCCAUUAUUCCCUCGCUCCACUGACCAUGUUGUUCGACCACAGUGUGUUUUAUAUCCUUGCACACACACCUAAGAAAUUUCAUGGCAAUAGGAUUCAAGAUAAAAGAGAUAUCAUUUUUCUUGUGCUCGCUGUCUUUGCUGCCCUGCAGCCGCGCUGCAGCCGAUUGGCGAGUACGUUCCCGAAAAUCCACUACUACGUUUGUCAAA